AUUGAACGCUGGCGGCAGGCCUAACACAUGCCAGUCGAGCGGAUGAAGGGAGCUUGCUCCUGGAUUCAGCGGCGGACGGGUGAGUAAUGCCUAGGAAUCUGCCUGGUAGUGGGGGAUAACGUCCGGAAACGGGCGCUAAUACCGCAUACGUCCUGAGGGAGAAAGUGGGGGAUCUUCGGACCUCACGCUAUCAGAUGAGCCUAGGUCGGAUUAGCUAGUUGGUGGGGUAAAGGCCCACCAAGGCGACGAUCCGUAACUGGUCUGAGAGGAUGAUCAGUCACACUGGAACUGAGACACGGUCCAAACUCCCAGGGGAGGGAGGAGUGGGGAAAUUUGGAAAAGGGGGGAAAGCCUGAUCCAGCCAGGGCGGGGUUGGGAAGAAGGUUUUGGGAUUGUAAAACACUUUAAGUUGGGGGGAAGGGCAAUAAGUUAAUACCUUGCUGUUUUGACGUUAACAACAGAAUAAACAACGGCUAACUUCGU
rnacentral:rRNA from 1 species